CCUACGGGUGGCAGCAGUAGGGAAUCUUCCACAAUGGACGAAAGUCUGAUGGAGCAACGCCGCGUGAGUGAAGAAGGGUUUCGGCUCGUAAAGCUCUGUUGGUAGUGAAGAAAGAUAGAGGUAGUAACUGGCCUUUAUUUGACGGUAAUUACUUAGAAAGUCACGGCUAACUACGUGCCAGCAGCCGCGGUAAUACGUAGGAUCCGAGCAUUAUCCGGAGUGACUGGGUGUAAAGAGUUGCGUAGGUGGCAUAAUAAGUAGCUAGUGAAAUCUGGUGGCUCAACCAUUCAGACUAUUAGCUAAACUGUUAAGCUCGAGACCGUUAGGGGUAACUGGAAUUUCUAGUGUAGGAGUGAAAUCCGUAGAUAUUAGAAAGAACACCGAUAGCGUAGGCAGGUUACUGGGACGGUUCUGACACUAAGGCACGAAAGCGUAGGGAGCAAACGGGAUUAGAUACCCGGGUAGUC
rnacentral:rRNA from 1 species